rnacentral:lncRNA from 1 species
CUUGCUUCUCUCCCAGCAAGUGCCGGGGCUGGGGUGGGAGUGUAACAGUCCUUACUCUGCAUGCAUUUGCGACUAGCAGAUGAAAGCUGCUGCUGGAGCCAGUCUAAUUGGAGAGAAUUGCAGUUUAGAGGAUUUCUUACACAAGUGGUAUAUUUACAACAUCUCCUUCCCCCUCCUGAGACUCCUCCCAUGUGACGCUCACCUCCCCCACGUGACCUCGCCCUCUUUAAUCUACAUAUGCAAAUCUAAGUGCUGCCUGCUGAGUUCAUUUAUGGACAAUGCCUCUCUCACCAAACUGCCUUCUGCUGGUCUGCUGGAACUCUGGGAAGGUUCACCGGCUCAAGAUUAUCACACUGAGGACCGAACUUACUAGGGGAACACACUCAGUUCCUAGCAGCCAGCCUGCCCUCAUCUUCUCCUUCUGACAGCAUUAAGAAGUAGCAACUUGGAAAGGAAACUGAGCUAUGGUUCAGUCUGGUUCACACACCAAGCCUUUGGAAGCCACGCUGCCUUGGUGUUUGUGUUUUCUCAAGGUGAGUGUGGUUGAUUUGGGGGUUGGGGGAGGAGUUGUUUGUUUAAUUUAGAGAUGAAGUCUUACCUUGUGUUCCAGGUUGGUCUGUUUCCAUGGAGCGAUCCUCCUGCAGUAGCCUCCCAAGUCAUGGGAUUUCAUGCCUAUACCACCUAGCUCGGGAA